rnacentral:rRNA from 1 species
CCUACGGGGGGCAGCAGUAGGGAAUCUUUCACAAUGGGCGAAAGCCUGAUGGAGCAACGCCGCGUGCAGGAUGAAGGCCUUCGGGUUGUAAACUGCUUUUAUAAGCGAGGAAUAUGAUGGUAACUUAUGAAUAAGGAUCGGCUAACUACGUGCCAGCAGCCGCGGUCAUACGUAGGAUCCGAGCAUUAUCCGGAGUGACUGGGUGUAAAGAGUUGCGUAGGUGGCAUAAUAAGUAGCUAGUGAAAUCUGGUGGCUCAACCAUUCAGACUAUUAGCUAAACUGUUAAGCUCGAGACCGUUAGGGGUAACUGGAAUUUCUAGUGUAGGAGUGAAAUCCGUAGAUAUUAGAAGGAACACCAAUAGCGUAGGCAGGUUGCUGGGACGGUUCUGACACUAAGGCACGAAAGCGUAGGGAGCAAACGGGAUUAGAUACCCGAGUAGUC